rnacentral:rRNA from 1 species
CAUAGGUUAAUGAGGCGAACCGGGGGAACUGAAACAUCUAAGUACCCCGAGGAAAAGAAAUCAACCGAGAUUCCCCCAGUAGCGGCGAGCGAACGGGGAGCAGCCCAGAGCCUGAAUCAGUGUGUGUGUUAGUGGAAGCGUCUGGAAAGGCGCGCGAUACAGGGUGACAGCCCCGUACACAAAAAUGCACAUGCUGUGAGCUCGAUGAGUAGGGCGGGACACGUGGUAUCCUGUCUGAAUAUGGGGGGACCAUCCUCCAAGGCUAAAUACUCCUGACUGACCGAUAGUGAACCAGUACCGUGAGGGAAAGGCGAAAAGAACCCCGGCGAGGGGAGUGAAAAAGAACCUGAAACCGUGUACGUACAAGCAGUGGGAGCACGCUUAGGCGUGUGACUGCGUACCUUUUGUAUAAUGGGUCAGCGACUUAUAUUCUGUAGCAAGGUUAACCGAAUAGGGGAGCCGAAGGGAAACCGAGUCUUAACUGGGCGUUAAGUUGCAGGGUAUAGACCCGAAACCCGGUGAUCUAGCCAUGGGCAGGUUGAAGGUUGGGUAACACUAACUGGAGGACCGAACCGACUAAUGUUGAAAAAUUAGCGGAUGACUUGUGGCUGGGGGUGAAAGGCCAAUCAAACCGGGAGAUAGCUGGUUCUCCCCGAAAGCUAUUUAGGUAGCGCCUCGUGAAUUCAUCUCCGGGGGUAGAGCACUGUUUCGGCAAGGGGGUCAUCCCGACUUACCAACCCGAUGCAAACUGCGAAUACCGGAGAAUGUUAUCACGGGAGACACACGGCGGGUGCUAACGUCCGUCGUGAAGAGGGAAACAACCCAGACCGCCAGCUAAGGUCCCAAAGUCAUGGUUAAGUGGGAAACGAUGUGGGAAGGCCCAGACAGCCAGGAUGUUGGCUUAGAAGCAGCCAUCAUUUAAAGAAAGCGUAAUAGCUCACUGGUCGAGUCGGCCUGCGCGGAAGAUGUAACGGGGCUAAACCAUGCACCGAAGCUGCGGCAGCGACGCUUAUGCGUUGUUGGGUAGGGGAGCGUUCUGUAAGCCUGUGAAGGUGUGCUGUGAGGCAUGCUGGAGGUAUCAGAAGUGCGAAUGCUGACAUAAGUAACGAUAAAGCGGGUGAAAAGCCCGCUCGCCGGAAGACCAAGGGUUCCUGUCCAACGUUAAUCGGGGCAGGGUGAGUCGACCCCUAAGGCGAGGCCGAAAGGCGUAGUCGAUGGGAAACAGGUUAAUAUUCCUGUACUUGGUGUUACUGCGAAGGGGGGACGGAGAAGGCUAUGUUGGCCGGGCGACGGUUGUCCCGGUUUAAGCGUGUAGGCUGGUUUUCCAGGCAAAUCCGGAAAAUCAAGGCUGAGGCGUGAUGACGAGGCACUACGGUGCUGAAGCAACAAAUGCCCUGCUUCCAGGAAAAGCCUCUAAGCAUCAGGUAACAUCAAAUCGUACCCCAAACCGACACAGGUGGUCAGGUAGAGAAUACCAAGGCGCUUGAGAGAACUCGGGUGAAGGAACUAGGCAAAAUGGUGCCGUAACUUCGGGAGAAGGCACGCUGAUAUGUAGGUGAAGUCCCUCGCGGAUGGAGCUGAAAUCAGUCGAAGAUACCAGCUGGCUGCAACUGUUUAUUAAAAACACAGCACUGUGCAAACACGAAAGUGGACGUAUACGGUGUGACGCCUGCCCGGUGCCGGAAGGUUAAUUGAUGGGGUUAGCCGCAAGGCGAAGCUCUUGAUCGAAGCCCCGGUAAACGGCGGCCGUAACUAUAACGGUCCUAAGGUAGCGAAAUUCCUUGUCGGGUAAGUUCCGACCUGCACGAAUGGCGUAAUGAUGGCCAGGCUGUCUCCACCCGAGACUCAGUGAAAUUGAACUCGCUGUGAAGAUGCAGUGUACCCGCGGCAAGACGGAAAGACCCCGUGAACCUUUACUAUAGCUUGACACUGAACAUUGAGCCUUGAUGUGUAGGAUAGGUGGGAGGCUUUGAAGUGUGGACGCCAGUCUGCAUGGAGCCGACCUUGAAAUACCACCCUUUAAUGUUUGAUGUUCUAACGUUGACCCGUAAUCCGGGUUGCGGACAGUGUCUGGUGGGUAGUUUGACUGGGGCGGUCUCCUCCUAAAGAGUAACGGAGGAGCACGAAGGUUGGCUAAUCCUGGUCGGACAUCAGGAGGUUAGUGCAAUGGCAUAAGCCAGCUUGACUGCGAGCGUGACGGCGCGAGCAGGUGCGAAAGCAGGUCAUAGUGAUCCGGUGGUUCUGAAUGGAAGGGCCAUCGCUCAACGGAUAAAAGGUACUCCGGGGAUAACAGGCUGAUACCGCCCAAGAGUUCAUAUCGACGGCGGUGUUUGGCACCUCGAUGUCGGCUCA